rnacentral:tRNA from 1 species
GGUAAAAUGGCCGAGUAGGCAUUAGACUGUAAAUCUAAGGACAGAGGUGGAUAAUUCCUCUUUUUACCA